rnacentral:rRNA from 1 species
CACGCUGUAAACGAUGGGUGCUAGGUGUUGGAGGUAUCGAUCCCUCCAGUGCCGCAGUAAACGCAAUAAGCACCCCGCCUGGGGACUACGGCCGCAAGGCUGAAACUCAAAGGAAUUGACGGGGGCCCGCACAAGCGGUGGAGCAUGUGGUUUAAUUCGACGCAACGCGAAGAACCUGACCAGGGCUUGACAUCCACAGUACUCGGUGGAAACACUGGGGUGCCCUUCGGGGAACUGGGAGACAGGUGG